UCCUCUACCAUCUCAAGGCGCCACUUGGUAUGAAUAACAUUAAGAUAAGAAGUCUGCUCAAGAAAGUAGCGCCAACGUUUCAUAGACUAAGGCGGUCAACAAGCAAAAGUGGACGAGGUCGCAAGCCAUAAGAAGGAUGAGACGGAGAAGAUGGCACAUCAGUAAAUGCAUCCACAACACACGAACGGCGUGUUUAAAAGUGAGGCAAAUGUGGAAGAAUACGAGCAAGAAUCCUCGAGAUAACCUCAGGUUAUGGAGACAAGGAAGUCAUCGGUGAUGAAGGUUUAGAAUCCCGUGAUAAGCGAAGUGAGGAAAUCAAAGGAAAUGAUGGUGAUGAAUUUGGAAUAAUUGGAGAAGCAGGAGCAGUACGAGGAAUGGAUUAGGGCUCAACAAUAGUGAUAGAUUAUGUAAAGGAUAUCCUCCAUUGAAAAGGUUGGGGAAGAUGGUCACAGGUAGAAGGGAGUGGACUCAUCAAAAGUCAUACCAUGAGAAAUAGUCACCCGAUGACCAACAUGAUCCUAACAACAAUAUCACUUAGUCUCAUUGUUGUAUCCUAUGAACACUCAACAGACUAAGCAGUAAGUUUACAUUCAUGAGAGGCAGUAAGGACACAUCAAACACAACCAAACAAUUGAAGCGCUGAAUAAUUUGGAAACGAUCAAAGACUCUUGAAAGGAGAUGACCAUGGUGGAAAUGUAGACGUAUUCAACCCAAAAGUGUGGCGUAAGAGAGGAAGUGACCAUCCAAAAGUGUGGCGGAAGAGGGAGCAGUGACAUUCAACCUACGAGCCGUCUCAAAAGUUUGCAAUGCUUGCGCUGAGCCAUGCCAUUUCUGAGCAUGAUGAGCACGAGGAUAAGAGAACUGAGCUAGAGCACCCUGCUCAACAAGGAUUGAAUGCAACAUCUUCGAGAUUUAUUCUCCACCAGAGUCAUCACAGAAUACAAGAAUAGGCGUAGAGAACUUGGUGUGAACCAUGGCAGGAAAACAUUAACGUAGAUAAGACCUCACUACGAAAGGAAAUAAAGUAUAUCCAGGUGUGUUGAGAGAAGUCAUCUAUAAAUAUAGUACUAGCGAUGACCUCCUUUCGAGGCGAAAGGAGAUGGACCCGAGACAUCAAAGUGAACAAGGUUGAAAGGGUGUUGAGACACUCUCUCGAUAUGAGCAUAAGGUAACUAUAACUGUUUGCCAAGCCGACAACCAUAGGGUUUAGAGACAUCGUCGGAGACUGAUCCAAGAAGACCACGUCAAACCAAGGAUGCAAGAUGAGAGCCACACAAAUGACCCCAGGUGACGAUGCCACUUCUAAACAUAACUGGUAGACAAGGUAACAGUGGUGCAAAGACUAGGGGCUGUAGCAGCAGUGUCACUUGAUCCAGCAUCCUAGGUGCCUGUGCACUCUUCGUUACCCGUCGAUCGGCUUGGUGUGCUUCUCCUGUUUGUGGGUUGUGUGCCACGCACUUGAUUAAGCACCCCACAUUCUCCUACAGUGCAUCGUUGACCCUGGCUUUAGGUAGCGUUGUGUCCUCGGCUUGCCGUGCAUAAUCCAGGUACGCGUCGACUAUCCGAGCUCCUGCUCACCAUUGGUGUUUGCUCGAGUGUGGGUUCUCGUGUCGCCCAUAAAGGGCACGGGAUGUGGGAUCGAGAUAGUUCACAUAGCAACCCACAACAAGGCAAUGGAUGCCCAUCCAGACUGACAGGGAGCGGAGGUGGACACAAAAAGAUGGAUGUUGACUCCAUAGGAGUCUCCAUAGUACGCUCGUCCGUAAGAGCAGCAGGAGCAAGAAGAUCCUGGAUAUACUUGUCUUAACAAAUAAAGAAGCCUUCGAAGGUAGACUCAGGGAAGUAGCGAUGAGGACCAAGGUCAGAGAUAAGAAACUCACUAUGACGAGCCUUCACAAAGGCAAUGUACUUAAGAGUCGUGCAGUAUCAUGAGCACUCGCUGAAAAAUGAGUUGCAUUAACCAAAGAGACAACGCUCAAACUAGGCAUGACGGGUUUGCUUAAGACCAUAUAGAGAACGCCGAAGAUGACAAACCAUGACUGCUGGAAAAGAAUACCCAAGUGGUGGGUACGUGUAGGCAUUGUUGACAUCAAGGGUAGAGAGAGAGAUACUAUGUUGGCAAACUGAAGCCACAUCGAAAGUGUGCCAAAAGGGCUCAUCUGGGCCAUACAGGAGCAAAUGUCUCAUCGUAGUCAUGACUAUAUGUUCUCACCACUAGACGAGCUUUGUAAAGCUCUAGAGAAACAUCAUAGUCUCACCCUUGUGGGCCUAGUUACAGUGAUGAGACGAGCAAGAGGAGGAAGGGAAAUGAGAGUCGACUAGCCGACGAGGUGAAGAGCAUUUGAUGCCAUCACAUGCUGCCAUUGUGGAUGAAAAAAAUGUCAUGAUAAGAAGUCUUCUUGUGAAGAGCACCGCAAUAACUAACCAUAGCAGUCAAUAGGCAGAAGCGGGCGAGCUCGAAAGCCAUAAGUAGGCUGAUCUGGAGCUAUGUGUUGCCAACAGAAGAAGACAUAUUAGUCGAGGGAGAUGACUCAUUAGAAGAAUCCACAACACGCGAACAGUGAGUGUACAAAAGUCAAGGAAGACGAGCAAAAGAAGGAACAUGAAAAGAGAAACUGCCAAGAGAGCCUCGACUAUCGACUGGCAGGGAAGUUACCAGGAUAAGAGAACUGAGCAAGAGCACCCUGCUCAACAAGGAUUGAAUGCAACAUCUUGGAGGUUUAUUCUCCAGAAGAGUCAUCACGGAAUACAAGAAUAGGCGUAGAGAACUUGGUGUGAACCAUGGCAGCAAAACGCUUACACAGAUAAGACCUCACUACGAAAGGAGAUAACGUAUAUCCAGGUGUGUUGAGAGAAGUCAUCUAUAAAUAUAGUACUAGCGAUGACCUCCUUUCGAGGCGGAAGGAGGUGGACCCCAGACAUCAAAGUGAACAAGGUUGAAAGGGUUGUUGAGACAUCAAAGUAAACAAGGUUGAAAGGGUUGUUGAGACACUGUCUCGCUAUGAGCAUAAGGUAACUAUAGCUGUUUACCAAGCCGAGAACCCAGACAGUUUAGAGACAUCGUCGGAGACCGAUCCAAGAAGACCAUGUCAAACUAAGGAUGCGAGAUGAGAGCCACACAAGUGACCCCAGGCGACGAUGGCACUUCUAAGCAUAACUGGUAGACAAGGUAACAGAGGUGGAGAGACUAGCGGCUGUAGCAGCAGAGUCACGUGAUCCAGCAUCCUACGUGCAUGUGCGCUCUCCGUUACCCGCCGAUCCGGCUUGGUGUGCUUCUCGUGUUUGCGGGUUGUGUGCCACACUUGAUUAAGCACCCCACGUUCUCCUACAGUGCGCCCUUGACCCUGGCUUUAGGUAGCGCCGUGUCCUCGGCUUGCCGUGCAUAAUCCAGGUAUGCGCCAACUCUCCGAGCUCCUGCUCACCAUUGGUGUUGCUCGAGCGUGGGUUCUGGUGUCGCGCAUAAAGGGAACACGGGAUGUGUGAUUGUGACAGUUCACAUAGCAACCCGCGGCAAGGCAAAGGAUGCCCAUCCAACUGGCAGGGAGCGGAGGUGGACCCAAAAAGGUGGAUGUUGACUCCAUAGGAGUCUCAACAAUGUGCUUGUCAGUAAGAGGAGCAAGAAGAUCCUAGAUAUACUUCUCUUAGCAAAUAAAGAAGCCAUCAAAGGUAGACUCAGGGAAGUAGCGAUGAGGACCAAGGUCAGACAUAAGAAACUCACUGUGACGAGCCUUCACAAAGGCAAUGUACUUAAGAGUCGUGCAUGGUCAUGAGCACCCGUUGAAAAACGAGCCUUAUUAACCACAGAGACAACGCUCAAACCAGUCAUGAGGGGUUUGCUAAAGAUCAUAUAGAGAACGCCGAAGGCGAUAAACCAUGCCGACUGGAAAAGAAUACCCAAGUGGUGGCUACAUGUAGGCAUUGUUGACAUCAAGCUGAGAGAUAGAUAGAUAGAUAGAUAGAGAGAGAGAGCGAGCCUAUGUUGGCAAACAGAAGCACAUCGAAAAGUGUGCCAAAAGUGGUCAUCUGGGCCAUACAGGAGCAAAUGUCUCAUCGUAGUCAUGACUAUAUGUUCUCACCACUAGACGAGCUUUAUAAAGCUCUAGAGAAAUAUCAUAGUCUCACCCUUGUGGGCCUAGUUACAGUGAUGAGACGAGCAAGAGGAGGAAGGGAAAUGAGAUUCCACUAGCCGACGAGGUGAAGAGCAUUAUUGCGGUGGUCUUCUUGUGAAGAGCACCGCAAUAACUAACCAUAGCAGUCAAUAGGCAGAAGCGGACGAGCUCGAAAGCCAUAAGUAGGCUGAUCUGGAGCUAUGUGUUGCCAACAGAAGAAGACAUAGUAGUUGAGGGAGAUGACUCAUUAGAAGAAUCCACAACACGCGAACAAUGAGUGUAGUAAAGUCAAGGAAGAUGAGCAAAAGAAGGAACAUGCAAGACAAACUGCCAAGAGUGCCUCGACUAUCGACUGGCAGGGAAGUUACAUUGACAGUAAAAACAUGAACAUGAGAAUCUAGAUGUGGAAUACCCAAGUGGUGGCUGCACGUAAAACCCCUCACAAAAUUCACCAUUAAAAAAGACAUUCUUAACAUCAAGCCGAGACGAAGUGACGAAUAAAGGCCGCAACAAGAUGUGUGUGAACAAUUGUCGUAUGGCCCGCAUGAGCAAAAACUCUCAUCGUAAUUAGGACCAUGAUUCUACUGAAAGCCACGAGCCACAAGACGAGAUUUGUAAUGUUCAAGAGAACCAUCAGAGCGAGUCUUAACCUUGUAGACGCACCAAGUAAUGGGACGAACACGAGGAGGAAGGGACAUAAUAUCCGAUGUGCUGAUGUGCUCAACAGUAGCAAUAUCCUCUACCAUGGCAAGGCGCCAUUUGGUAUGAAUAACAUCAAGAUAAGAAGUCUGCUCAAGAAAGUAGCGCCAACGUUUCAUAGCCUAAGGCGGUCAACAGGCAAAAGUGUACGAGGUCGCAAGCCAUAAGAAGGCCGAGACGGAGAAAAUGUCACAUCAGUAGAUGCAUCCACAACACACGAACGACGUGUUUAAAAGUGAGGCAAAUGUGGAAGAAUACGAGCAAUAAUCCUCGAGAUAAGCUUAGGUUAUGGGGACAAGGAAGUCACCGGUGAUGAAGGUUUAGAAUCCCGUGAUAAGCGAAGCGAGGAAAUCAUAGGAGAUGAUGGUGCUGAAUCUGUAAUAAUUGGAGAAGCAGGAGCAGUACGAGGAAUGGAAUAGGGCUCAACGAUAGUGAUAGGAAUGUCGGGAAAAGUGAGAUAACACAUCCUCCACUAAAAAGGUCGGGGAUGAUGGCCACACGCAGCAGGGACGAGACUCACUAAAACUCAUACCGUGAGAAAUAGUCACCCGAUGACCAACCUGAUCCCAACAACAAUAUCUCUUAUGGUCAUUGUUGUAUCCUAUGAACACUCAACAUACUAAGUAGUAAGUUUGGUACAUUGACGAGAGGCAGUAAGGGCACAUCAAACACAACCAAACAAUUGAAGCGCUGAAUAAUCUGGAAACGAUCAAAUAGACUCUCGAAAGGAGAUGACCAUGGUGGAAGUGGAGACAAAUUCAACCCAAAAGUGUGGCGUAAGAGAGGCAGUGACCAUCCAAAAGUGUGGCGGAAGAGAGAGCAGUGACAUUGAACCUAUGAGCCGUCUCAAUAGUUGACGAUGCUUGCCCUCAGCCAUGCCAUUUUUGAGCAUGAGCACCAGGAUAAGAGAACUUAGCAAUGGCACCCUGCUCAACAAGGAUUGAGCGCAACAUCUUGGAGAUUUAUUCUCCACCGAGUCAUCACAGAAUACAAGAAUAGGCGUAGAGAGAUACUAUGUUGGCAAACAGAAGCCACAUCGAAAAGUGUGCCAAAAGUGGUCAUCCGGGGCCAUACAGGAGCAAAUGUCUCAUCGUAGUCAUGACUAUGUUCUCACCACUAGAUGAGCUUUGGAAAGCUCUAGAGAAACAUCAUAGCCUCACCCUUUGAUGUCAUCACAUGCUGCCAUUAUGGAUGAAAAAACGUCAUGAUAAGAAGUCGUCUUGCGAAGAGCACCACAAUAACUAACCAUAGCAGGUGAGCUCGAAAGCCAUAAGUAGGCUGAUCUGGAGCUAUGUGUUGCCAACAGAAGAAUACAUAGUAAUCGAGGGAGUUGACUCAUUAGAAGAAUCCACAACACGCGAACAGUGAGUGUAGUAAAGUCAAGGAAGACGAGCAAAAGAUGGAACAUGAAAAGAGAAACUGCCAAGAGUGCCUCGACUAUCGACAGGUAGGGAAGUUACCAGGAUAAGAGAACUGAGCAAGAGCACCGUGCUCAACAAGGAUUGAAUGCAACAUCUUGGAGAUUUAUUCUCCACCAGAGUCAUCACGGAAUACAAGAAUAGGCGUAGGGAACUUGUUCGUGUGCCUUGGCGUCAAAACGCUUACACAUAUAAGACCUCACUACGAAAGGAAAUAAAGUAUAUCCAGGUGUGUUGAGAGAAGUCAUCUAUAAAUAUAGUACUAGCGAUGACCUCCUUUCGAGGCGAAAGGAGGUGGGCCCCAGACAUUAGAGUGAACAAGGUUGAAAGGGUUGUUGAGACACUGUCUCGCUAUGAGCAUAAGGUAAGUAUAGCUGUUUACCAAGCCGACAACCCAGACAGUUUAGAGACAUCAUCCGAGACUGAUCCAAGAAGACCAUGUCAAACUAAGGAUGCGAGAUGAGAGCCACACAAGUGACCCCAGGCGACGAUGGCACUUCUAAGCAUAAAUGGUAGACAAGGUAACAGAGGUGGAGAGACUAGCGGCUGUAGCAGCAGAGUCACUUGAUCCAGCAUCCUACGUGCCUGUGCGCUCUCCGUUACCCGCCGAUCCGGCUUGGUGUGCUUCUCCUGUUUGCGGGUUGUGUGCCAGCACUUGAUUAAGCACCCCACGUUCUCCUACAGUGCGCCCUUGACCCUGGCUUUAGGUAGCGCCUUGUCCUCGGCUUGCCGUGCAUAAUCCAGGUAUGCGCCAACUGUCCGAGCUCCUGCUCACCAUUGGUGUUGCUCGAGCGUGGGUUCUGGUGUCGCCCAUAAAGGGAACACGGGAUGUGGGAUUGAGACAGUUCACAUAGCAACCCACAGCAAGGCAAAGGAUGCCCAUCCAACUGGCAGGGAGCGGAGGUGGACCCAAAAAGGUGGAUGUUGACUCGAAGGAGUCUCAACAGUACGCUUGUCAGUAAGAGGAGCAAGAAGAUCCUGGAUAUACUUCUCUUAGCAAAUAAAGAAGCCAUCAAAGGUAGACUCAGGGAAGUAGCGACGAGGACCAAGGUCAGACAUAAGAAACUCACUGUGACGAGCCUUCACAAAGGCAAUGUACUUAAGAGUCGUGCAGGAUCAUGAGCACCCGUUGAAAAACGAGCCUUAUUAACCACAGAGACAACACUCAAACCAGUCAUGAGGGGUUUGCUAAAGAGCAUAUAGAGAACGCCGAAGGCGACAAACCAUGCCGGCUGGAAAAGAAUACCCAAGUGGUGGUUACAUGUAGGAUUGUUGACAUCAAGCAGAGAGAGAGAGAGAGAGAGAUAGAUAGAGAGAGAGCCUAUGUUGGCAAACAGAAGCACAUCGAAAAGUGUGCCAACAGUGGUCAUCUGGGCCAUACAGGAGCAAAUGUCUCAUCGUAGUCAUGACUGUAUGUUCUCACCAGUAGACGAGCUUUGUAAAGCUCUAGAGAAACAUCAUAGUCUCACCCUUGUGGGUCUAGUUACAAGUAAUGAGACGAGCAAGAGGAGGAAGGGAAAUGAGAUUCCACUAGCCGACAAGGUGAAGAGCAUUUGAUGCCAUCACAUGCUGCCAUUGUGGAUGAAAAAAAUGUCAUGAUAAGAAGUCUUCUUGUGAAGACCACCGCAAUAACUAACCAUAGCAGUCAAUAGGCAGAAGCGGGCGAGCUCGAAAGCCAUAAGUAGGCUGAUCUGGAGCUAUGUGUUGCCAACAGAAGAAGACAUAGUAGUUGUGGGAGAUGACUCAUUAUAAGAAUCAACAACACGCGAACAAUGAGUGUAGUAAAGUCAAGGAAGAUGAGCAAAAGAAGGAACAUGCAAGACAAACUGCCAAGAGUGCCUCGACUAUCGACUGGCAGGGAAGUUACAUUGACAGUAAAAACAUGAACAUGAGAAUCUAGAUGUGGAAUACCCAAGUGGUGGCUGCACGUAAAACCCCUGACAAAAUUCACCAUUAAAAAAGUCUUUGUUAACAUCAAGCCGAGACGGAGUGACGAAUAAAGGCCGCAACAAGAUGUGUGUGAACAAUUGUCGUAUGGCCCGCAUAAGCUGAAACUCUCAUCGUAAUUAGGACCAUGAUUCUACUGAAAGCCACGAGCCACAAGACGAGCUUUGUAAUGUUCAAGAGAACCAUCAGAACUAGUCUUAACCUUGUAGACGCAUCAAGUAAUGGGACGAACACGAGGAGGAAGGGACACAAUAUCCGAUGUGCUGAUGUGCUCAACAGUAGCAAUAUCCUCUACCAUGGCAAGGCGCUAUUUGGUAUGAAUAACAUCAAGAUAAGAAGUCUGCUCAAGAAAGUGGCGCCAACGUUUCAUAGCCUAAGGCGGUCCACAGGCAAAAGUGGACGAGGUCGCAAGCCAUAAGAAGACCGAGACGGAGAAGAUGGCACAUCAGUAGAUGCAUCCACAACACAUGAACGACGUGUAUAAAAGUGAGGCAAAUGUGGAAGAAUACGAGCAAUAAUCCCCGAGAUAAGCUCAGGUUAGCGAGACAAGGAAGUCACCGAUGAUGAAGGUUUAGAAUCCCGUGAUAAGCGAAGUGAGGAAAUCACAGGAGAUGAUGGUGCUGAAUCUGUAAUAAUUGGAGAAGCAGGAGCAGUACGAGGAAUGGAAUAGGGCUCAACUAUAGUGAUAAGAAUGUCGGGAAAAGUGAGGUAACACAUCCUCCACUAAAAAGGUCGGGGAUGAUGGUCAUACGUAGCAGGGACGAGACUCACUAAAAGUCAUACCGUGAGAAAUAGUCACCCGAUGACCAACCUGAUCCCAACAACAAUAUCUCUUAUGCUCAUUGUUGUAUCCUAGGAACACUCAACAUACUAAGUAGUAAGUUUGGUACAUUGACGAGAGGCAGUAAGGGCACAUCAAACACAACCAAACAAUUGAAGCGCUGAAUAAUCUGGAAACGAUCAAAUAGACUCGGAAGGAGAUGACCAUGGUGGAAGUGGAGACGCAUUCAACCCAAAAGUGUGGCGUAAGAGAGGCAGUGACCAUCCAAAAGUGUGGCGGAAGAGAGAGCAGUGACAUUGAACCUAUGAGCCGUCUCAAUAGUUGACGAUGCUUGCCCUCAGCUAUGCCAUUUCUGAGCAUGAGCACCAGGAUAAGAGAACUGAGCAAGAGCACCCUGCUCAACAAGGAUUGAGCGCAACAUCUUGGAGAUUUAUUCUCCACCGAGUCAUCACAGUAUACAAGAAUAGGCGUAGAGAGAUACUAUGUUGGCAAACGGAAGCCACAUCGAAAAGUGUGGCAAAAGUGGUCAGCUGGGCCAUACAGGAGCAAAUGUCUCAUCGUAGUCAUGACUAUAUGUUCUCACCACUAGAUGAGCUUUGUAAAGCUCUAGAGAAACAUCAUAGCCUCACCCUUUGAUGUCAUCACAUGCUGCCAUUAUGGAUGAGAAAACGUCAUGAUAAGAAGUCGUCUUGCGAAGAGCACCACAAUAACUAACCAUAGCAGUCAAAAGGCAGUAGCAGGCGAGCUCGAAAGCCAUAGUUAGGCUGAUCUGGAGCUAUGUGUUGCCAACAGAAGAAUACAUAGUAAUCGAGGGAGUUGACUCAUUAGAAGAAUCCACAACACGCGAACAGUGAGUGUAGUAAAGUCAAGGAAGACGAGCAAAAGAAGGAACAUGAAAAGAGAAACUGCCAAGAGUGCCUCGACUAUCGACAGGUAGGGAAGUUACCAGGAUAGGAGAACUGAGCAAGAGCACCGUGCUCAACAAGGAUUGAAUGCAACAUCUUGGAGAUUUAUUCUCCACCGGAGUCAUCACGGAAUACAAGAAUAGGCGUAGGGAACUUGGUGUGUGCCAUGGCAUCAAAACGCUUACACAUAUAAGACCUCACUACGAAAGGAAAUAAAGUAUAUCCAGGUGUGUUGAGAGAAGUCAUCUAUAAAUAUAGUACUAGCGAUAACCUCCUUUCGAGGCGAAAGGAGGUGGGUCCCAGACAUCAAAGUGAACAAAGGUUGAAAGGGUUGUUGAGACACUGUCUCGCUAUGAGCAUAAGGUAAGUAUAGCUGUUUAACAAGCCGACAACCCGGACAGUUUGGAGACAUCAUCGGAGACUGAUCCAAGAAGACCAUGUCAAACUAAGGAUGCGAGAUGAGAGCCACACAAGUGACCCCAGGCGACGAUGGCACUUCUAAGCAUAACUGCUAGACAAG
rnacentral:lncRNA from 1 species